rfam:Capsicum annuum cultivar Zunla-1 chromosome 10, whole genome shotgun sequence
UAAUGAUGGUGAUAGCAAUUUCGGUGCAUAGUCUUGAAUCUUUCUCAAGCUUGGUAAAGAUUCUCUCCAUCUUUUUAUCUGAAACUCAGAAUCUCACUUCUCAAACG